rnacentral:lncRNA from 1 species
GUUUAUUACAAAAGACAUGAUAACUUAUUUUAACUACUUUUUAUUUUGCAUGUGUAAUGAACGGAGUUCUAAAUAGCCUGUAUCCCUCAUAUAUCUUAUCUGCUGUAAAUUCAUUAUUAUUGCGAAAAAGGGCACAGGGUUAUAAUCGCAAUAAUUUAGACUCGCAUUUUAAAAUUAUAUAUAUGAAUAACACUGGAUUUUAAAAUUGCAUUUUAGUCUAAAAUAAUAAAAUCGCAAUAAUAAAUGUCCUAUCAAUCUUUGUUCAUAAAAGGAAUACUAUUAUCUUAAUUUCUCUAAGUUCUAUUUUCUGUGAUAGCUUUGGUAAAGUUGAUCAUAGGUAAGUGAUUCGCCACAAUUGUUAAUAAUGAGCAUAUACUGAUUAAAUUUGGUUAUUAGUCAAAGUUUUCAAUAGACAAGAACAUCUUUUUAAUAAAAGGCUCCGCAGGAGGCAGCUUGAUUCAACUACAGAAGUCGAGCCCUUAAUAGUUGGUACACGUAUGGACACAACAUUAAGCUUGUUAUAGCUCUGAAUUUGGAUUGUGAUUUAAUAUUAGGCCAGAAAAGGUUUCGGACACAUUGAACAAAUGUGGUGAAAUAACUUAAAAUUUAAAAAAAUGGACAUUUACCCUUUAUUGUCCAAUAUCUAAAACCUAAAUACAUAUCCACAGAUUCAUCAAUUCAAAUAACCCUAUGAAUUUUGUAUAAAUAAAACAAAGUUUUGACCCUUCGGACCCUAAUGUGGACUAAUUUCAAAAC